GGUUAAGCGACUAAGCGUACACGGUGGAUGCCCUGGCAGUCAGAGGCGAUGAAGGACGUGCUAAUCUGCGAUAAGCGUCGGUGAGGUGAUAUGAACCGUUAUAACCGGCGAUUUCCGAAUGGGGAAACCCAGUGUGUUUCGACACACUAUCAUUAACUGAAUCCAUAGGUUAAUGAGGCGAACCGGGGGAACUGAAACAUCUAAGUACCCCGAGGAAAAGAAAUCAACCGAGAUUCCCCCAGUAGCGGCGAGCGAACGGGGAGGAGCCCAGAGCCUGAAUCAGUGUGUGUGUUAGUGGAAGCGUCUGGAAAGGCGUGCGAUACAGGGUGACAGCCCCGUACACAAAAAUGCACAUAUUGUGAGCUCGAUGAGUAGGGCGGGACACGUGGUAUCCUGUCUGAAUAUGGGGGGACCAUCCUCCAAGGCUAAAUACUCCUGACUGACCGAUAGUGAACCAGUACCGUGAGGGAAAGGCGAAAAGAACCCCGGCGAGGGGAGUGAAAAAGAACCUGAAACCGUGUACGUACAAGCAGUGGGAGCCUCUUAAUGGGGUGACUGCGUACCUUUUGUAUAAUGGGUCAGCGACUUAUAUUCUGUAGCAAGGUUAACCGAAUAGGGGAGCCGAAGGGAAACCGAGUCUUAACUGGGCGUUAAGUUGCAGGGUAUAGACCCGAAACCCGGUGAUCUAGCCAUGGGCAGGUUGAAGGUUGGGUAACACUAACUGGAGGACCGAACCGACUAAUGUUGAAAAAUUAGCGGAUGACUUGUGGCUGGGGGUGAAAGGCCAAUCAAACCGGGAGAUAGCUGGUUCUCCCCGAAAGCUAUUUAGGUAGCGCCUCGUGAAUUCAUCUCCGGGGGUAGAGCACUGUUUCGGCAAGGGGGUCAUCCCGACUUACCAACCCGAUGCAAACUGCGAAUACCGGAGAAUGUUAUCACGGGAGACACACGGCGGGUGCUAACGUCCGUCGUGAAGAGGGAAACAACCCAGACCGCCAGCUAAGGUCCCAAAGUCAUGGUUAAGUGGGAAACGAUGUGGGAAGGCCCAGACAGCCAGGAUGUUGGCUUAGAAGCAGCCAUCAUUUAAAGAAAGCGUAAUAGCUCACUGGUCGAGUCGGCCUGCGCGGAAGAUGUAACGGGGCUAAACCAUGCACCGAAGCUGCGGCAGCGACACUAUGUGUUGUUGGG
rnacentral:rRNA from 1 species